AGUGAACGCUGGCGGUAGGCCUAACACAUGCAAGUCGAACGGCAGCGGGGCUAGAGCUUGCGAUGACGGGUGGAGAGUGGAGGACGGGUGAGGAACACACCGGAAUCUGCUGGAUCGCGGGGGAUAACGUUGGGAAGCACACGCUAAUAUCGCAGACGACCUACGGGUGAACGCAGGGGAUCGUCGGACCCUGCGCGACUGAAUGAGCCGAUGUCGGAUUAGCUAGUUGGCGGGGUAAAGGCCCACCAAGGCGACGAUCCGUAGCUGGUCUGAGAGGAUGAUCAGCCACACUGGAACUGAGACACGGUCCAGACUCCUACGGGAGGCAGCAGUGGGGAAUGUUGGACAAUGGGCGCAAGCCUGAUCCAGCCAUGCCGCGUGCGUGAAGAAGGCCUUCGGGUUGUAAAGCCCUUUUGUUGGGAAAGAAAAGCAGCAGGUUAAUACCGCGGUGUUCUGACGGUACCCAAAGAAUAAGCACCGGCUAACUUCGUG
rnacentral:rRNA from 1 species